GCCGGAGUGGCGGAAUGGCAGACGCGCUGGAUUCAAAAUCCAGUGGGCUUAAUUGCCCGUGUGGGUUCGAGUCCCACCUCCGGUA
rnacentral:tRNA from 2 species